GCUCCCGUAGCUCAGUUGGAUAGAGCAGUGGUUUCCUAAACCGAAGGUCACAGGUUCGAAUCCUGUCGGGAGUACCA
rnacentral:tRNA from 2 species